GACGAACGCUGGCGGCGUGCUUAACACAUGCAAGUCGAACGCUGAAGCUUGGUGCUUGCACUGGGUGGAUGAGUGGCGAACGGGUGAGUAAUACGUGAGUAACCUGCCCUUGACUCUGGGAUCAGCCUGGGAAACUGGGUCCAAUACUGGAUACGACAUGUCACCGCAUGGUGGUGUGUGGAAAGGGUUUUACUGGUUUUGGAUGGGCUCACGGCCUAUCAGCUUGUUGGUGGGGUAAUGGCUCACCAAGGCGACGACGGGUAGCCGGCCUGAGAGGGUGACCGGCCACACUGGGACUGAGACACGGCCCAGACUCCUACGGGAGGCAGCAGUGGGGAAUAUUGCACAAUGGGCGGAAGCCUGAUGCAGCGACGCCGCGUGAGGGAUGACGGCCUUCGGGUUGUAAACCUCUUUCAGCACGGAAGAAGCGAAAGUGACGGUACGUGCAGAAGAAGCGCCGGCUAACUACGUG
rnacentral:rRNA from 1 species